UGCAAUCACAUUUCCUUUGCCUUCCACUA
rnacentral:piRNA from 1 species